GGGUGUGUAGCUCAAUGGUAGAGCGGCCGACUGCAGAUCGGCAGGUUCAUGG
rnacentral:tRNA from 1 species